rnacentral:rRNA from 1 species
AAUCAACGCUGGCGGCGUGCCUCAGACAUGCAAGUCGAACGCGAAAGUCCCCUUCGGGGAGUGAUUAGAGUGGCGCACGGGUGAGUAACACGUAGGUAAUCUACCUUCGAGUGGGGAAGUAACUACAGGGAAACUUGAGCUAAUAACCGCAUAAUGCAGCGGCACCACAUGGUGACAGUUGUUAAAGACAUUUAUUGCGCUUGAAGAGGAGCCUGCGGCGGAUUAGCUAGUUGGUAAGGUAAAUGGCUUACCAAGGCUACGAUCUGUAACCGGCCUGAGAGGGCGGACGGUCACACUGACACUG